UACGUAGGGGGCAAGCGUUGUCCGGAUUUAUUGGGCGUAAAGAGCGUGUAGGCGGCCUGGAAGGUCAGCUGUGAAAACUCGAGGCUCAACCUCGAGACGCCGAUGGAAACCAUCUGGCUAGAGUCCGGAAGAGGAGAGUGGAAUUCCUGGUGUAGCGGUGAAAUGCGCAGAUAUCAGGAAGAACACCCGUGGCUAAGGCGGCUCUCUAGUACGGUACUGACGCUGAGACGCGAAAGCGUGGGGAGCGAACAGG
rnacentral:rRNA from 1 species